rnacentral:rRNA from 1 species
GACGGAAGGUGCAAGCGUUGCUCGGAAUCACUGGGCGUAAAGGGGUGCGUAGGCGGCCGUGCAAGUCUGGCGUGAAAGCCCCGGGCUCAGCCCGGGAAGUGCGCUCGAAACUGCGCGGCUCGAGUGCCGGAGGGGAGAGUGGAAUUCCUGGUGUAGCGGUGAAAUGCGUAGAUAUCAGGAGGAACACCGGUGGCGAAGGCGGGUCUCUGGGCCGAUACUGACGCUGAGGAGCGAAAGCGUGGGGAGCGAACGGG